rnacentral:rRNA from 1 species
GAACGCUGGCGGCGUGCCUAAUACAUGCAAGUCGAGCGAACGGACGAGAAGCUUGCUUCUCUGAUGUUAGCGGCGGACGGGUGAGUAACACGUGGAUAACCUACCUAUAAGACUGGGAUAACUUCGGGAAACCGGAGCUAAUACCGGAUAAUAUUUUGAACCGCAUGGUUCAAAAGUGAAAGACGGUCUUGCUGUCACUUAUAGAUGGAUCCGCGCUGCAUUAGCUAGUUGGUAAGGUAACGGCUUACCAAGGCAACGAUGCAUAGCCGACCUGAGAGGGUGAUCGGCCACACUGGAACUGAGACACGGUCCAGACUCCUACGGGAGGCAGCAGUAGGGAAUCUUCCGCAAUGGGCGAAAGCCUGACGGAGCAACGCCGCGUGGGUGAUGAAGGUCUUCGGAUCGUAAAACUCUGUUAUUAGGGAAGAACAUAUGUGUAAGUAACUGUGCACAUCUUGACGGUACCUAAUCAGAAAGCCACGGCUAACUACGUG